AAACAAUGCAAACGCUAAUGGCGUUAGCUAUAUGCAUAUAUUGAGUUAGCUGGGAGACGACAUUGCCCAGGACAUUGUUUAAUUUGUAAUUAAGCAACAAUGUCGUCAGUUGAGCAUUUGAGGAGAUUUGUCAAUGAGCGACUAACCGCUGCUGCUGAAGAAAUAUUUGGAGUUUUUAAGAAGACUAUCGUCGCGUAUGAGGAAGAAAUCGACCGUCAGCGCAGACUGUUGGACAUCGUGUGGAACCCUGAAAUAAAGUUACUCAGAAUAGUGGUAUCCUCUUCCUCUUUCUUUUUUUGUGUCCCCUCCAGAGCCCCCACAGCAUCAGGUCGGUAUGAAGGAGGAUGUUCUCGCUGACCAGCAGGACCCAGAGCCUCCACAGAUUAAAGAGGAACUGGAGGAACUCUGCACCAGUCAGGAGGGAGAGCAGCUUGAACUGAAGCAAGAGACUGACACGCUUAUCUUGACACCUACAUCAGAGGGAAAUGACCACAGUGAAGCUCAGUCUCUGUAUUUUCCUCCUGACAAAAGUCUGAGUGCAGCAGACACAGAGCUUCCAGCUAGCGUGUGUAUCACUUGGCAAAAUGAUGAAUCAGACUCUGAAGACUCGGAUGUAUCAGACCCAAAAAAUGCACACCAGCUUCUCUUCCACAACUUCCUUGUAGCUCAAAGCCAACAUCAAAAUGGAAGCGAGCAUGGAGACUCAGGAUCAACAAGUAACGCGCAGCCAGACCCCCAAAAAAGUCACACUCACUACUUAAUCAACACUAACUUGUCAGGGAUUUGCUGUAAUACAGGUAAAAAGUUUCUCAAAUGUGACACGUGUGAGAAAACUUUUAGGUAUAGGUCAGAUUUGCAGAGACACCUGCUGAUACACACAGGUGAGAAGCCAUAUUCUUGCAACAUGUGUGGAAAAAGAUUCAAUCAGAAAGCAAGACUGAGCGGCCAUAUGAGGAUCCACACAGGUGAGAAGCCAUAUUCUUGCAAAACCUGUGGGAAAUAUUUCCGACAUAACAGUCAGUUGACAGUCCACAUGAGAGGCCACACGGGAGAGAAGCCGUUUACUUGCAACACUUGCGGGAAAGAUUUCAGACGUAGUGAUGAAUUGGCAGCCCACAUAAGAAGAAUCCACUAACCUUAUUUUUUCUUCAUACUGUGUAUUAUUCGUAUAUCGAGAUCUUUUAAUGCUGCAUCUCAGCAGCUAGGGUUCAGUUUAAGUAUGAUUUGAUACUGUUUGGUGUUUUCAUCAGUGCAGCUGUCUCAUAUUGAACAAACUUGUAUUCAGUAGAGGAAUGUAACUACAUGUACUUAAGUACUUUGUGCAGCAUUGAUUGUCUACGUAGCCAUGGUUGCAUGUAAAUUCCACACAGAUAUGAAAUCUUGAACACUUCCAAUAAAAAAAAAAUCAUCAGUUUUGAA